rnacentral:lncRNA from 1 species
UAUAUAUAUAUAUAUAUACAUAUUUGUUCAUAUUUGAAAUUAUUCUUAGUUAUACAACAGUUUAAUAAAUAUACAUUUAAUAUUAUACGUUUUACUUUUCUUUUUUUUUUUUUUUUUUUAAUAUAUUUUUACACACCAGAUUUAAGCUAAUAAUAUUUGCACACACAGAAGAAAUUUUGUUUUGGUAAUAACUGUACACUUCACACCAGCUUUUAUCAUGGGAAUUAUGAAGUAAAAAAAAAUAAAGCCAUUAAAUUUGGAAGAAGGUUGUUAAUUGUGCAUAUACAUGUAUAAAUAUGUGCAUUUGUAUUUGUAUAUAUGUAAUUUUUUUUUUUUUUUUUUUUUUUUUUUUUACAAAAACAUACAUAAGUAAAUGUACUGCUACAAUAAACUCCAAAAAAAAAAAAAAAAAAAAAAAAAAAAAGAAAAGAACAAAACAGAACAGAACAGAACAGAACAAAACAAAACAGAACAAAACAAAACAAAAUAGAACAGAACAGAACAAAACAAAAUAAGAAAGAACAGAACAGAACAGAACAGAACAGAACAGAACAGAACAGAACAGAACAGAACAAAACAAAACAAAACAAAACAAGAAAGAACAGAACAAAACAAAACAAAACAGAACAGCAAAAUAUUGUAACAUUGUAUGAGUGUGAUAACAAAAAGUCUUUACAUAAUGUUGUUUCUUUAAUCAUCAAAAUAAAAUAAAAAAAUAUAUAUGACUAGGUCUUAUA